rnacentral:rRNA from 1 species
UACGUAGGGGGGCAAGCGUUGUCCGGAAUCAUUGGGCGUAAAAGCGCGUGUAGGCGGCUCGGUAAGUCUGCUCUGAAAAGUCCAGGGCUCAACCCUGGGAUGCGGGGUGGAUACUGCCGAACUCGAGUCCGGAAGAGGCGAGUGGAAUUCCUGGUGUAGCGGUGAAAUGCGCAGAUAUCAGGAGGAACACCGGCGGCGAAGGCGGCACUCUGGGCCGGUACUGACGCUGAGGAGCGAAAGCGUGGGUAGCAAACAGG